rnacentral:tRNA from 1 species
AAUGAGGUGCCUGAUUAAAGGGUUAUUUUGAUAGAAUAAAUUAAAUAUUUAUAAAUAUCCUCAUUA